GUGGAUCACAUGGUGUAGGAAAAUCAAAGUUGAAAACUUCAGUUAUCAAACUCCUAGAAGAUGAGGGUAUCGAAUGGAGUGAAGAGAAUCGGGGAACCAUACUGAUCAAGCUCAGUGGCUACAGAGAGUUCAACUUUCUGGAUUCUCAUAGCGACACUGAGUAAGAUUUCUUAUUCAUUGACAAUGUCCAUUACUUGAUGUAGUUAGUAGCGCAUUGAUGAAG
rnacentral:misc_RNA from 1 species